AAAAAGAAUAGGAGGGCUUGUAAGCACUGAUCCAACAGGAAAGGCUGCAUAUUGGGCAAGUCAGGUCUCAGAGAACAGACCUGUGUGUAAGGCCAUUAUUCAAGGAAAACUAAUUUGGUGGAAAGAUAAUAAAAAUAAGACAUGGGAAAUAGGUAAGGUGAUAACGUGGGGGAGAGGUUUUGCUUGUGUUUCACCAGGAGAAAAUCAGCUUCCUGUUUGGAUACCCACUAGACAUUUGAAGUUCUACAAUGAACCCAUCGGAGAUGCAAAGAAAAGGGCCUCCACGGAGAUGUCUGCAGGUGUACCCAACAGCUCCGAAGAGACAGCGACCAUCGAGAACGGGCCAUGAUGACGAUGGCGGUUUUGUCGAAAAGAAAAGGGGGAAAUGUGGGGAAAAGCAAGAGAGAUCAGAUUGUUACUGUGUCUGUGUAGAAAGAAGUAGACAUAGGAGACUCCAUUUUGUUAUGUACUAAGAAAAAUUCUUCUGCCUUGAGAUUCUGUUAAUCUAUAACCUUACCCCCAACCCCGUGCUCUCUGAAACGUGUGCUGUGUCAACUCAGAGUUAAAUGGAUUAAGGGCGGUGCAAGAUGUGCUUUGUUAAACAGAUGCUUGAAGGCAGCAUGCUCCUUAAGAGUCAUCACCACUCCCUAAUCUCAAGUACCCAGGGACACAAAAACUGCGGAAGGCCGCAGGGACCUCUGCCUAGGAAAGCCAGGUAUUGUCCAAGGUUUCUCCCCAUGUGAUAGUCUGAAAUAUGGCCUCGUGGGAAGGGAAAGACCUGACCAUCCCCCAGCCCGACACCCGUAAAGGGUC
rnacentral:lncRNA from 1 species